GAUGAACGCUGGCGGCGUGCCUAAUACAUGCAAGUCGAGCGAACGGACGAGAAGCUUGCUUCUCUGAUGUUAGCGGCGGACGGGUGAGUAACACGUGGAUAACCUACCUAUAAGACUGGGAUAACUUCGGGAAACCGGAGCUAAUACCGGAUAAUAUUUUGAACCGCAUGGUUCAAAAGUGAAAGACGGUCUUGCUGUCACUUAUAGAUGGAUCCGCGCUGCAUUAGCUAGUUGGUAAGGUAACGGCUUACCAAGGCUACGAUGCAUAGCCGACCUGAGAGAGUGAUCGGCCACACUGGAACUGAGACACGGUCCAGACUCCUACGGGAGGCAGCAGUAGGGAAUCUUCCGCAAUGGGCGAAAGCCUGACGGAGCAACGCCGCGUGAGUGAUGAAGGUCUUCGGAUCGUAAAACUCUGUUAUUAGGGAAGAACAUAUGUGUAAGUAACUGUGCACAUCUUGACGGUACCUAAUCAGAAAGCCACGGCUAACUACGUG
rnacentral:rRNA from 1 species